CCGGGGGGCCGGGCAGCCGCGUCAUCGCAAGAUGUCGAGGAAAGUCCGGGCUCCGCGAAACAAGGGUGGCGGGUAACGCCCGCCGAGUGAGCCUUCGGGCGAAGCUCAGGGAAAGUGCCACAGAGAGUAUACCGCCGAUGGCCCCCGCUUCUUCGGGAGUGAUGGCACAGGCAAGGGUGAAAGGGUGCGGCAAGAGCGCACCGGGGGGCCGGUAACGGUUCCCGUCAUGGCAAACCCCACCCGGAGCAAGACCGCAUAGGGGUCUCGCGCCGCAAGGCAGGGGCGUUUCGUCCCGAGAGACCCGGGUUGGUCGCUGGAGCGGCGGAGCAAUCCGUUGCCGAGAUGAAUGGCUGCCACCGCAGCGCUGAUGUGCAAGCAUAUCGGCUGUGGGACAGAACCCGGCUUACAGGCCCCCCGGCACA
rfam:Erythrobacter atlanticus strain s21-N3, complete genome.